rnacentral:rRNA from 1 species
AAUAGAUACCCUGGUAGUCCACGCCGUAAACGAUGAGUGCUAAGUGUUAGAGGGUUUCCGCCCUUUAGUGCUGAAGUUAACGCAUUAAGCACUCCGCCUGGGGAGUACGGCCGCAAGGCUGAAACUCAAAGGAAUUGACGGGGGCCCGCACAAGCGGUGGAGCAUGUGGUUUAAUUCGAAGCAACGCGAAGAACCUUACCAGGUCUUGACAUCCUCUGACAACCCUAGAGAUAGGGCUUCUCCUUCGGGAGCAGAGUGACAGGUGGUGCAUGGUUGUCGUCAGCUCGUGUCGUGAGAUGUUGGGUUAAGUCCCGCAACGAGCGCAACCCUUGAUCUUAGUUGCCAUCAUUUAGUUGGGCACUCUAAGGUGACUGCCGGUGACAAACCGGAGGAAGGUGGGGAUGACGUCAAAUCAUCAUGCCCCUUAUGACCUGGGCUACACACGUGCUACAAUGGACGGUACAAAGAGCUGCAAGACCGCGAGGUGGAGCUAAUCUCAUAAAACCGUUCUCAGUUCAGAUUGUAGG